ACGCUGGCGGCGUGCCUAACACAUGCAAGUCGAACGAGGUCCAAGGAAGCUUGCUUCCUGAAGACCUAGUGGCGAACGGGUGAGUAACACGUGAGAAACCUGCCUCGGAGUGGGGAAUAACUCGGGGAAACUCGAGCUAAUACCGCAUACCUUCACAUGAUCGCAUGGUCGAGUGAAGAAAGAAUUUCGCUCUGAGAGGGUCUCGCGGCCUAUCAGCUUGUUGGUGGGGUAACGGCCUACCAAGGCAACGACGGGUAGCUGGUUUGAGAGAACGAUCAGCCACACUGGGACUGAGACACGGCCCAGACUCCUACGGGAGGCAGCAGUGGGGAAUCUUGCGCAAUGGGCGAAAGCCUGACGCAGCAACGCGCGUGCGGGAUGACGGCCUUCGUGGUUGUAAACCGCUUUCAGCAGGGACGAAAAUGACGGUACCUGCAGAAGAAGCCCCGGCUAACUACGUG
rnacentral:rRNA from 1 species